GUGCCAGCAGCCGCGGUAAUACGUAGGGUGCGAGCGUUGUCCGGAAUUACUGGGCGUAAAGAGCUCGUAGGUGGUUUGUCGCGUUGUUCGUGAAAACUCACAGCUUAACUGUGGGCGUGCGGGCGAUACGGGCAGACUAGAGUACUGCAGGGGAGACUGGAAUUCCUGGUGUAGCGGUGGAAUGCGCAGAUAUCAGGAGGAACACCGGUGGCGAAGGCGGGUCUCUGGGCAGUAACUGACGGUGAGGAGCGAGAGCGUGGGGAGCGAACAGGAUUAGAUACCCUGGUAGUCCACGCCGUAAACGGUGGGUACUAGGUGUGGGUUCCUUCCUUGGGAUCCGUGCCGUAGCUAACGCAUUAAGUACCCCGCCUGGGGAGUACGGCCGCAAGGCUAAAACUCAAAGGAAUUGACGGGGGCCCGCACAAGCGGCGGAGCAUGUGGAUUAAUUCGAUGCAACGCGAAGAACCUUACUGGGUUUGACACGCACAGACGCCGGCGUAUGUCGUUGCCUUGU
rnacentral:rRNA from 1 species